rnacentral:rRNA from 1 species
UACGGAGGGGGCUAGCGUUGUUCGGAAUUACUGGGCGUAAAGCGCACGUAGGCGGCUUUGUAAGUUAGAGGUGAAAGCCCGGGGCUCAACUCCGGAAUUACCUUUAAGACUGCAUCGCUAGAAUUGUGGAGAGGUAAGUGGAAUUCCGAGUGUAGAGGUGAAAUUCGUAGAUAUUCAGAAGAACACCAGUGGCGAAGGCGACUUACUGGACACAUAUUGACGCUGAGGUGCGAAAGCGUGGGGAGCAAACAGG